rnacentral:ncRNA from 1 species
UAUGAAUAUAUAAUAUAAUAUCUGGGUUUUUUUCAUGAUAUCGACAAGUUCCCCCAUUGCAUAUCUUGGUGGUAGUAGAAAAUAUUCAAAUGAGAACUUUGAAUACUAAAGUAGGGAAAGGUUCCAUGUGAACAACACUUGGACAUGGGUUAGUCGAUCCUAAGAGACGGGGAAACCCUGUAUCAAGGGUGCACUCUACAUGAACAUCUAAACGGAAUCAUGUUAAUAUUUCCAAACCAAGACAUGGCGGUGGAUGAAAACAUUAGGAAAUAUGGAGACAUUGUCGGGGGCCCCAGGAAGAGUUAUACUUUAUUUUUAAUGGCUUUCCCACCCUAAAAUUAGUUCAAUUGGAUAAAGGGUCCAACAACUGGAAGAACAUGGCUUGUAUUUCAGUGUCUGAUGCCCCCUCAAUGGCCAUUGAAAAUAUGGAGGACCGAGUACCAUCCAUUCCUAGUCAUACUCAUAAUCACAUCAGGUCUCCAAGGUCAUGAAAAACCUCUCGUUAAUUGAACAAUGUAGGUAAGGGAAGUCGAAAAAAUGGAUUCAUAACUUUGGGAAAAGAAUUGGCUCUAAGGGAUGGGCCUAGGGGUAUGCGUAUUCAACCCAUGGGUAGUCAACAAUCUUCCUGAGCUACUCUCAUGGCGAGGGUGGGUUGUCGCAUGCCAAUUUGUAUAUGUACGUAGAAUGUUCCCUCAUAGAAGAUUUUCUGUAGGCGGUGAAAAGUCGACUGAAAACUAGUACGAAGAAGGGGAAUCCGACUGUUUAAUUAAAAUAAAUCAUUGUGAUGAUCCUUGUGGAUUCUAGCGCAAUGUGAUUUAUGCCCAGUUCUCUGAAUGUCAAAGUGAAUAAAUUCAACCAAGCAUGGGUAAAUAACAAGAGUAACUAUGACUCUAUUAAGGUAUCCAAAUCCUUUUCAUCUAAUUAUUGACGUGCAUGAAUGGACAUUGCGGUUUUCAUUCGCCCAGGGGUUCCGAACUCCCAGAGUAUCGAAUGUCUUAGU